CUCAAUGAUCUUUCAAUAGCCGCAAUACAUUGUGCUAAGGUAGCAUAAUCAUUUGUUUUUUAAUUAAAAACUAGAACGAAAGAUUUAUCAUUUUUUCUUCUUUCUUAAAUAUUUAUAUUAAACUUAUUUUAAAUAUAAAAAAAUAUUUAUUAAAAAAAAAGACGACAAGACCCUAUUGAACUUAACUUAAGUUUAACUGGGGUAGUUAAUUAAAUACAAUUUUAAUUUAAAUCAUAAAAAAUCUAAUACAAUUAAAAUAAUCAAGUUACCAUAGGGAUAACAGCGUAAUAAUUUUCUUAAGAUCUUAUUAUAAAAAUUGUUUACGACCUCGAUGUUGAAUUAAUAAUCUAUUAAAUGCAACAAUUUAAUAAGAAAGUCUGUUCGACUU
rnacentral:rRNA from 1 species